CUUCAGUGAAGAGAAGAUGACGAGUCUGACUGGAGGUGUUAUCUUUGUCCAGGUGGCCCCUGCUCUGUACUGCGUUCUGUGGCACAGUUACAAGGGCCUUUGGGUUAAAGUAACUUCCAAAAGAUGACUUAGAGGCAUUUGUCUGAGAAGG